rnacentral:lncRNA from 1 species
CUGCUAUGCUACUAUAGGAAGUCCCACAACUGGUCAGACUGUUGUCUCCAUAAAAGGAUGGCCAUCAUCUUCAGCUGCGCUCUUGAAAUGGAACUGCCUGGCAAGCUUCUAUGUUUCCCUGACACUGAACUCAUCAUUAUUGUCAGCAUCAGUCAUCAUGGUGAGUCACCAUUAUUACCAUCAGAGCCAAGCAAAAAUAUUCGGGACUCAUGAGCAAUCCAUUGCCAGUGCAAGUGUCUUCUGUUCUUCUUAGUGUACCCACUGAGAUUUGGGGUUCGGGCAACUGGAGCAAAUACUGAUACUGUGGCUGCUGCUGUUGCCCCAUGCCCGAGUGUUGUCCUCAAGUGGAUUCGACCCAAACUUCUGUGAGAUAAAGGCUUGAUCAUAACCAGGAGACAUCAG